rnacentral:rRNA from 1 species
AACCUGGUUGAUCCUGCCAGUAGUGUAUGCUUCUCCUAAAGACUAAGCCAUGCAUGCCUCCGAAUAGAAGAGCAAAUCUCUCUGAAUCUGCGAACGGCUCCGCAAACCAGUUGUAAACCAUAGCAAGCAUGCCUUGGGACCGGCGCAAGCCGGACCCUUGGCUAUAGGGAUAACCCUGGUAAUUCUGAGGCUAAUACAUGAACGUAACCCCUGGCCGACGGGCAACCGGACGCUGGGGGCCGUGCGGGUUGACGCAUCGUCUUAUUGGGAAUAGUCGCACAGUAGGACCACCAUACCAAACAGUAUCCGCUUCGCCGCCUCACGGUGGCUGGUGGUGUCUGGGUGGCUCUUGCACGGUGCUUCUGACCUAUCAACUAGAUGGCAGCGUAAGGGACAUGCUAUGGUGACAACGGGUACAGAGGAUAAGGGUUCGAUCCUGGAGAGUGGGCCUGAGAGAUUGCUCACACUUCUAAGGAAGGCAGCAGGCGCGCAACGUUCCCCUUGGGCAAUGCUCGAGGGCGUUAGGGGACAUAUGAAUGCCUGCCUAUGGUGGGCAAUGAGAACGUAUUAGAGGNNNNNNNNNNNUCGAGUAACAAUUAGAGGACA